rnacentral:lncRNA from 1 species
UUUUUUUUUUUUUUUUACGAAUAACACGUAUAAUUUUAUUAGUUUUUGAGAGAUCUGCACUAACGACGGCAAUCAAAAGCAUCAAACACAGCAAAUAAAAGAACUUUUUUUUGUAUGAACUUUUUUUUAUAUAUAUAAACGCAUCAACUACCUUUUUUAUAAAACAAUUUAAAUUAGUAAAUGUAAUGAAGAAGCAAAUCUUUGACCCCCAGAUCAUUUGGCAAGACUGAGCAGGCCAUGCAUAAUUCUAUACUGCAUAUCCGAGGCAACUUUAAUUGCAAUAAAGGAUUGAAGUGGUCGUUUAGGCUUUAGGGAGAAAAGCUCAAGUAAUUGAUGCUUCCUUCCGAUCCAUGUAGGUGCAGGCCUGCAAAAAAAAAUAGAUGGACGUGUUUGCAAUAGGAAUUAUUUAUUAGAAAAUAAUUUAUUUACAUCACAAAUAUAUUUUUUUAAUACAUCAUUCUAUAUUUGCAAUCACCGUAAUUUCACAUACAUCAUAUCGCAUCGCAAAAAAUACUACAAUAAUUAUUUCAAAUAAUUUCCGAUCCAAAACCCUUCUCACCGUUCAUCUUGAGGGUCAACCAAAUAAAAAAUUACUCUUGGCAUGGCAUUACAUUUUUGGGGUUGAGCUGCUUUAGUCAAUACAAUACAUAAGUGC